CGGGUGUAGUUCAGUGGUAGAACACCAGCCUUCCAAGCUGGUCAUGUGGGUUCGAUUCCCAUCAUCCG
rnacentral:tRNA from 1 species